rnacentral:rRNA from 1 species
AUUGAACGCUGGCGGCAGGCCUAACACAUGCAAGUCGAGCGAGCGGCGGACGGGUGAGUAAUGUCUGGGAAACUGCCUGAUGGAGGGGGAUAACUACUGGAAACGGUCGCUAAUACCGCAUACCAUCAGAUGUGCCCAGAUGUGAUUAGCUCGUAGGUGGGGUAACGGCUCACCUAGGCGACGAUCCCUAGCUGGUCUGAGAGGAUGACCAGCCACAAUGGAACUGAGACACUGUACAGACUCCUACGGGAGGCAGCAGUGGGGAAUAUUGCACAAUGGGCGCAAGCCGGAUGCAGCCAUGCCGAGUGUGUGAAGAAGGCCUGCGGGUUGUAAAGCACUUUCAGCGGGGAGGCGUUACCCGCAGAAGAAGCACCGGCUAACUCCGUGCCAGCCGCCGCGGUAAUUC